AUGGUAGCGCUCGGUGCUAUAGGCCGCCCGCCGAGAAACACACACUUCAGAGCAAUGGCUGAGCUUGAUGACCCGAGAUGGACCUGCACGGGCAGAGCCAUCUUGUCCGUGACCUUCGCACCGGAAGGACAAUCCAGACCGAGGAGGAUGCCGCAAGGGCCCAGAAAAAUCAAACGUCCACAAUCUUAGCUGUACCACCAAUAGCAGGUGGCGGUGGAGGGGACGCCUGCCUGCUGACUCUCAGAAGUGGC
rnacentral:lncRNA from 1 species